UACGGAGGGGCUAGCGUUGUUCGGAAUACUGGGCGUAAAGCGCGCGUAGGCGGACCUGCAAGUCGGGGGUGAAAGCCCGAGGCUCAACCUCGGAACUGCCUUCGAUACUGCGGGUCUCGAGUCCGGGAGAGGUGAGUGGAAUUCCUAGUGUAGAGGUGAAAUUCGUAGAUAUCAGGAGGAACACCUGCGGUGUAGACGGCUUGCUGGACCAUAACUGACGCUGAGGCACGAAAGCGUGGGUAGCAAACAGG
rnacentral:rRNA from 1 species